rnacentral:rRNA from 1 species
CAGCCGCCGCGGGAAUACAGAGGAUGCAAGCGUUAUCCGGAAUGAUUGGGCGUAAAGCGUCUGUAGGUGGCUUUCCAAGUCCGCCGUCAAAUCCCAGGGCUCAACCCUGGACAGGCGGUGGAAACUACCAAGCUAGAGUACGGUAGGGGCAGAGGGAAUUUCCGGUGGAGCGGUGAAAUGCGUUGAGAUCGAAAAGAACACCAACGACGAAAGCACUCUGCUGGGUCGACACUGACACUGAGAGACGAAAGCUAGGGGAGCAAAUGGGAUUAGAGACCCCAGUAGUCCCUGUCUCUUAUAC